rnacentral:rRNA from 1 species
CCUACGGGUGACAGCAGUGAGGAAUAUUGGUCAAUGGGCGCGAGCCUGAACCAGCCAAGUCGCGUGAGGGAAGACGGUCCUAUGGAUUGUAAACCUCUUUUGUCGGGGAGCAAAAGACGCCACGCGUGGCGUUCCGAGAGUACCCGAAGAAAAAGCAUCGGCUAACUCCGUGCCAGCAGCCGCGGUAAUACGGAGGAUGCGAGCGUUAUCCGGAUUUAUUGGGUUUAAAGGGUGCGCAGGCGGAAGAUCAAGUCAGCGGUAAAAUUGAGAGGCUCAACCUCUUCGAGCCGUUGGAACUGGUUGUCCUGAAGGAGAGAGAAGUAUGCGGAAAGUGGGGGGUAGCGGUGAAAUGGAUA